GUAGGUGGCAAGCGUUGUCCGGAAUUAUUGGGCGUAAAGCGUGCGUAGGCGGUUCUUUAAGUCUGAUGUGAAAGCCCACGGCUCAACCGUGGAGGGUCAUUGGAAACUGGAGAACUUGAGUACAGAAGAGGAAAGCGGAAUUCCACGUGUAGCGGUGAAAUGCGUAGAGAUGUGGAGGAACACCAGUGGCGAAGGCGGCUUUCUGGUCUGUAACUGACGCUGAGGCGCGAAAGCGUGGGGAGCAAACAGGAUUAGAUACCCUGGUAGUCCACGCCGUAAACGAUGAGUGCUAAGUGUUAGGGGGUUUCCCGCCCCCCUUAGUGCUGCAGCUAACGCAUUAAGCACUCCGCCUGGGGAGUACGGCCGCAAGGCUG
rnacentral:rRNA from 1 species